rnacentral:rRNA from 1 species
UCAAUCUAACCUUAGGAUUGGAAUAACCCCGGGAAACUGGGGCUAAUACCUAAUAGGCGAGAAGGUCUGGAAUGACUUUUCACUUAAAGAGUUCUAGGAACAUGCUCCUUUAACUGCCUAAGGAUGAGACUGCGGCCGAUCAGGUUGUUGGUGGGGUAACGGCCUACCAAGCCGAUAACCGGUACGGGCCCUGAGAGGGGGAGCCCGGAGAUGGGAACUGAGACAAGGUCCCAGACCCUACGGGGUGCAGCAGUUACGAAAACUCUACAAUGCACGAAAGUGUGAUAGGGUUAUCCCGAGUGCCGUCCGAUGAGGAUGGCUUUUCCUCGGUGUAAGGAGCCGGGGGAAUAAAAGGGGGGCAAGACUGGUGUCAGCCGCCGCGGUAAUACCAGCCCCUUGAGUGGUAGGGAUGAUUAUUUGGCCUAAAACGUCUGUAGCCGGCUUAGCAAGUCUUUCGUUAAAUCCGGUGACUCAAUCAUCGGGCUGCGAGAGAUACUACUAGGCUUGAGGACGGGAGAGGUCGACGGUAUUUCGGGGGUAGGGGUAAAAUCUUAUAAUCCUCAGAGGACCACCAGUGGCGAAAGCCGUCGACUAGAACGUGCCUGACGGUGAUGGACGAAAGCUGGGGGAGCAAA